GAAGACUCUGUGACAUCAAAGAGGAGUUCUAUAGGAUUGCAGGUUUCCCCAAUGUCAUUGGUGCAGUGGACUGCACACACAAGGAUAAAAGCCCCCUCAGGUGCCCAUGAGGCCGAUUUUGUGAAUAGGAAAUCCUUUCACAGCAUUAAUGUUCAGAUGGUCUGCAAUGCUGACUGUGAUCAGCAAUGUUGUGGCAAAAUGGCCUGGCUCAGUCCAUGACUCCAGAAUCUUUCGGGCCUCUGAAAUCUAUCACAAGGUGAAUUCUCUGGUGUGUUGCUGGGAGACAGGGGGUAUGGCUGCCAGCCUUUUCUCCUGACACCUUUCACAGACCCCCAGGAAGCACAGCAGGCCUACAACCAUGCCCAUGCCAGGACCAGGGCCAGAGUUGAAAUGACCUUUGGCCUCCUGAAGGCACGCUUUCACUGCCUUCACAAAUUAAGGGUCAGCCCUGUUAGGGCAUGUGAUAUUACUGUGGCUUGUGCUGUCCUCCACAAUGUGGCCUGCCUGAGGAAGGAGAGGGCCCCCAGAGUGCCACCAGCCAUGGACUGGGACAAUCCGGCAAUCUUCCCUGAUGACGACAGUGGUCGGCUGCUGAGGGACCAAUAUGUGUUGAAUUAUUUUAGUUAGUAUGUGUGCUUUCAAUUUUGGUUAAAUAUGUCCUGCGGUGGCAGAGGAAUUUGGGUUUUUUUGGGUUCGUUUUUUGACGAAUUUGGCCUCUUAUGAUGUUUGUGCGGUAUACUGUGUGUAAUACAAGGCUGCAGGGAGGCUACUGCAUCCAUUCAUUUGUCUGUUCAGUUGAUGUGUAUGGAUUUGUCCUGCAUUUAUUUUAGUGUGCAGACAUGCAGGGUGUGUUAUAUACAGACCUUUGAAUGUGUAUAUCAUUUUGUAUAAUAUGCUUGGAUUCUGUGCUUUCCAUCUUGUAGAGUCACUGUGACUUCAGUUUCGAAAGGAGCUGAUGGUUUACCUGCUUUGUUUUGUCCUUAUUCAAUAAAGGAACAUAAUGUUACACAUUGUGUUUUUAUAUUCAUA